UUAUUAGUCUUUGGGGUUUGACCCGAGGUGGUUGGCGGUGGUUAGAGGUGGUCGGAGAUGGUUAGGGGUGGUCGUUGGUGGCGGAUGGCGGCGGUUGGAGGUGAUCGAGGUAGACAAGAAGGAGGACAAGGGGGAGAAAGACGAGGAAGAUAAGGAGAACGAGGAUUUCUGCACGACAUAACCAGAGGUGGUCAGCGGUGGUCGUUGAAGGUGGUUGGCGGUGUUUGGAGGUGAUCGGUGGAGCUUGAGGGUGGUUGCGGGUAAUCGUGGGAAACGAGGAGUGGGAGGACUAUUGCACUAUUCCGACGUGCUUUUUUGCUCGCCAUUUCUCUCCUCUU
rnacentral:lncRNA from 1 species